rnacentral:snoRNA from 1 species
AUGACGAAGACGGGAUGUGCUGAGAUGUGACGAGGUAGAACCCACCGA